GGCGAUCGGGAAAUAAGCUCGAACCAAUCAGGGCCACUCUCGCGCCUGAUUGGCGCGGUCCCGACCGUGAUUUCACGCGCGUUGCUACAACAAUAACUGGAAGUGACCGGAGAAAGGGGUUUUCUAUAUUUUCGGCAGAAUAAAUUUACAUACUUAAUACGUUAUCAGUUUCGAAGCUUCAGGCUAGCGUGAAAAUCAGUGUGAAUAAUCGUUCUGUUGGUGAGAAAAAAAGAAAUGCCAGAAGUCUGAAGCGUUUCAGAAGGAUGAAGCUUGACAAAAGCUCGCCGAAGGUGUUUCGGAAACAGCGUUCCAGUUUGCGCCCGCAGUAACGUGGCUCGCGAUUCGCGAGCAGACACAAAACGGUCGCAGCCGUGAACGACAGGCCUUUUUGUUUGCCGUAGCUUUCGCAGAUUGAGACGCUGCGGAAAAGAAAAGAGUGGGGGCGGGCAGGGGUUGGUCGGAGGUCUGCGACGAGGCAAGCAAGUGAAUGAGGGCAGCGAGUGUGUGGAAGGUUAGAAUGUAACACGCGAGCGGACGACACAAUAGGGAAGGCAGGAACAAUGAGCCGCGUUAUACGUCUGCACGGUGUAUUGAAGACGGAUUCUAUGGAAUAAGUUUAACUGUACCGGGCUGGCGCGGUAAUUGGAGAUACGUCGCGGAAGCUGGAAUAAGGAUCCGCAUGGAGUUUCUGAAAUUCCUGCUGACUGGCCGCGAGAAGAGGAGCCUUAUUGGAGGAAAUACGAUCGAGCUUCGGUUACGAGUUGAAUUUCCUGGAAUCCCUGCAACCGAUGCCUCGUCGAGUCACGUAGAAGGAUAGACGGCUGGAUCGAACGGGCUCGUUGCUGCGACAAGAAUGGAAGAAGAGACUUUGGAUGUCGCUAAAGGGUUUAGGGUUGGACAAGUUCAGUCCUGGACACUCGAUGCCACCAGGGACAACUGAAUCACGGUUUUCACGAUAACAACCCCGUUCCGAGGAAACGGCAAAAAUGAAAAUGCCGAUGUAGAUGGAAAGCCGUUAAGGGAAUAUACUACCCUGACAGUUAUAUUUUCAUUUUCUUGCUCUUUUUGUCGAGGGAAAAAUAGUUAAAACGGAAUAAUCUUGUGAUUCAGUGGGAAGCAAUUCAUAUCGAUUCGAGGCAAGCAGAAGCAGCGACGUCUGCGAUUGAAUUAUCGGCCUCGAUGCAUUUUACAUCGCGAAUUCGAUUGUGAUCGAUCAGCCGUUGUGGCUCCUUUUACUCGGAUUCCCAAGAGAACAGUGAGAAACAGUAGGAGGUUUGAUUGAUCGAUCGAAUUAUCUCUGACGAACGUGUCGGUUAUUAAAUAAAAUUGUGUUUAACGCUUCAGGGACGUUAGAUUAGGUGAAGCUCGGUAUUCUAAUCGAUAUAGAAAAGGAUGGAAGAAGAAUUUGGUGAAAUGCCAGCGAGCGUUCGUCGAUUUUCCAUUAAACCUUCGAGAAGUCUCGUCUCGGAAAGGUUCUUUGUUUCGAAGAUUAAUUAACGCUCGGUGCCAAACGACGUUGUCGUCGAUGUAACGGAGAGCCACGAAAAGUCAACCGGGUAACGAGAAUUGGAGCGUGAUUCUCCGAUGGGGAUCCUCGGAAUCGGGCUUUUUUUUCCGGCCAACGUGUCCGAGAUUUUCUCUCGGAAGCCGAAAAUCCAAUUACGACCGCGGCGCAAGCGGAAUUUCAUUUCCGCGAGAGUCGCGUGUAUCUUGCCGCUCUCGUGUAUCGCAAAUCGAACGCGUUUCUGUUCCACGAAUAACGCGAUCAAAGCGAACGUUUUCCCAAUCACUUCGCUCCAACCGUAUUAUACUUUUGGUGUUAACGCGUUGAAUCCCAUGGGGUGCUCUAUCAAUUAGCUUGGAUUUAGCAAUUUCUAUUCUGUUAAUUCAACGUUUCUGUUCUUCGAACAAACGAGUAGAAAUACGUACCUACAUGGACGUAAGUAGUUUCGUGUAUCGAUAAGCUGUCGCUCGAAGCCUCGCAGGAGGCAACAUUCGCUCGAGGCAAAUUAACCGUGUCUUAUCUGGGCCAUACAUGCGACACAGAGCUGAGACAUCCUGUCCCUCUGCAUAUACAUACGUGUCCCCUCUAUUCACCGUAACCCCUGUACAUCUAUAACUAACGUCCCAUUUGAUACUGAAAUUAGCAUGUUAUGCAGCGAUGCUCCAACUAUUUGCCUACACAUCGUAGGAUACUCGUAAUUAUACGAAUUCUGGCUCGUUCCUUCCGGUUGACCAGUAAGGAGACAGUGUCACCGAGUUGGUGAAACGAGGCAUCGGCCAGAAGGGAACAAGGGAGCAAGAACAGGUGCUCUAUAGCGAACAAGUUUCCUUUUUUCCAGAAGUCGAGCGGAAAAAGGUCUGUCGACGACACUGGAUUCUUAACGGAGGGUCGAGGGUUGGAAUCGAUAACGGAGGAUCUCGCAAAAACAACGAAUCCACGCAAGAAUAACAGUAAAAAGGGUGCAACCGUGCGAAAAGAAUGUUCCCGCUAAGAAUAAUUUCUCCGGUGACAGAUCCUCGCAAGAAGAAGCGUCGGGGAAAAAAACGUGAAAGAGUUCGCUAUGGUCUACGUGGUUCGGCAAGUAGCGUUUCUGAGUGCGAUUAGAUUGUUCAGGGAUAGGAAUCUCGGCUUCUCGAGAUGGAUUUCUUUCGAGUUUGCACGAUUUCCAACUUAUCUUCGUCGAGGAGGUAGAAAUUUUUCGCAGCAGUUCGUGCCCUUCGAAAAUAAUUAAUCCAUCCGUACAGUGAAAAGCUACGUAUCGUUCCGAGAUCACGCGAUACACCAUUUAAGGAUCGUUCGAUCAAUCCCCUACAAUUCGCGCAAAGUUCAGCCACGUGUGAACCGAAAUUCAAAGCGAAAUAACAUGUAUCUACCAAAGAAAGCAGCCAUUGUGAAUCGAAACGUAAACACGACACGCGGUGGACCAAGCAUAAAAAAAAAAAGAAACGGGAAAGGAUUAUCUGGGUGCGAUCAGGCAUCAACUGGUUUAGCAGUUGGCGUCGAUAGUGCAGGGAAAAAACUCUGCAGCCCGUAUCGGAUGCAACGGGUGCACGUGGAAUUGCAGCAGGGCGAAUAAAUAGAGGCGUGCAGAGGGUACACGGUGACCGUUUCGAGUUUCCCUUGACGCUCUAGCACCCUAUUAACCGUACUGGGUGCACGCCACCCUGGCCCAUCGGUAUUAACGAAAACGACAUUUAUACCAUGCUCGUCGACAGCCACGCUUAAUCAACUAACAUUCUAAUUACAUUAUCUCUAUACAAAGACUGUAUGUAAAACAAGUUAAAGUGAACUAGAGCGAGAAUUGCUCUAGAGCCAACCCUUUUUCAGCCAUUUCCGGUCAGAUCGGAAGUGAUCGGGAAUUAUUUAGAUAACUCUUACCGUUUGGCCUGUACAAAAGUGACAGAAAGUCUAAAUGCUACAUCCCCUUUCUGAAGAUUUUCAAUCUUAGAUGCGGGUUGGCUAAUAAACGAUUUAAUUAAAAAUUUCUCUUUCAUAAUUCAGAAUAAGAAUGAAAAAGUGUAGGAAAUACUGUGUAGAGUAAAAAACGCUGCAAUAGAGGUAGAAAAUAAAAUUGAGGGAACACUUAUCGAGGUCGAACGAGCCGUCCAAUCGGUUGAACCCGAAAUUAAUCAGGCUUCUAUUAGCGUGUGCUCGUGCACAGGUAUCGGCGGCGCAAAGAGAAAAAUCUUUAUGGCUGCCUCGGUCGAGAGCCGGGAGAUUUAUCGUUGGCCCUUGUAUCUAGCCGUGGCUGCGUGUGACAGGAACUCGAUAAAAUACUCGUGUAAUAAACAGGGUAAACGCAAAUUUAUAUGGAACGGUCUGGCCGGCUCUGCAUGCUGCAUUAACCUCUGUCCGCUCGAUCACUUAUCGUUAGCGAAGCCAGAUUUUCAUCGAAUCGCCCAUUCGAUCGGUCUCGACCUCCCUCUACAUCUCUAUAUGUAUAUAUCGUAUCGGUUCGGUUUCUAUAAAGGCAAAGAUAUCAAUCAGCUUUCCUUUUCUCAUUCACGUUGUCGAACGCUCUCGAUUGGGAAUUGCUCGUCAAAUAUACAGGGAGAGACGUUUGCAAUUAACUAAUUUUAUUUUAUUUUAUUUUAUUUUAAUAGACGGUACAAGUUCCAUUAGUGUACAUAAAUGAAUUUUACAAAAGCAGAUGACCGAAAAGAAGGAUUAUAUGUAGGUAGGGUGACAAGUCGCAUAACCUAGUCUGGUAGAAGUUUUUCAAUCGAAUUUCUAAAGAAAGUUACGUUACUUGUGUAAGGGCGGCAUUGCCCAGGGCCACCACGCAGGUACAGCUGUCCCUGCGUUUUCCUAGAUACGCACGAAUGUUUAUAAUAAAUGAAUUGGACAACGCCGAUGUACGACAUUCUCGAUCGAGUGAUUGAAUAAUAAAGUCUACACUAAGUGUGAACAAAAGGAAUUUGCUACGUGACACGUGCGAUUUACGGGAUCAUGUGCAGAAAAGCAAGAUGUAUAGCGAUACGGGUGAAAAGUUCGCAGAGAUUUAACUAUUCUCAUUGGAGCUUAGAAAUUUAUCAGCUCGAGAAGUAAAAGAUUGUAAAAGAUUAAUUUUUAUUUCGAGGGCAGAUGCUGAAUCUUACGAUUCUCUUAGCCAAAGGCUUUGCUUGGUCUGUGUUUUUUUUUUUUCAAGUUCGAAGAGGUUGUAGCUGUGAUAGAGUUUGACGAAAAAAUUUCCAGACACGUUUUCCCCGACGUCGUUCAAGGAUUGCGUUACGACGAGCCACGUAGGCUGGCUGGAAAUCGGCUUUGCGUCUUCCACGAUAAAAUUUCUGCUUGUCAGGUGGAGAGGAGAAAAGAAAAGGCCGGAAUUAUCAUGGCGUCGAAACGCCGCGAAGAAGAAGGGGGCGCAAUCUCUGACAAGGAGAAUACGCUUGCAAAUCACAUUUCCCGGCGAGCUGAUUGCUCGCUUCGAACACGCUGAUCGCGUUACUUUAACGCGUAACUGCGACCGUGUACCCAGGAUCAUUCUCGAUAUUGGCUUCGUCAUUGGGAACGAUCGUACUGCUAGGUCGUCGAAGAAAAAUUCAAGAAAGCACACGAACACUCGCCGGGAUCGUUUCUCGGAUUCAAACGAGCCGGAGACAAAGGUCUGAAAAGUGGCGGAACAGGAUUCCUAGCACGAAUCCUCGUUCAGGAUAAUAUCAAUCGUUCGCAGGAGAUCACGACUCGCGUAACUCGCGACUAUCCUUGCGAAUCCAUCGUUUAACGAAUAGAACGAGGUCCACCUUGCGAUUUUCUCGCCUUCUAUCGCGUGCAUCGUUAAAACGCGAUAACAAGGAGCAAGAACAAUUUACUUAAUAUUUUGCAAAUAUUUCAGAGCAACGGAAGGGGAAGAAAUUACGCAAUAGCCAGAAACGUAAAGAGCAACUGUUGGCCGUUGAAAAUCGUUCGGUCAGUGAGACCUUUUCGUCCUCGAUUCCAUCGGCGCGUUGGCUCGAGGCCAAUCGGCUCCAAUACGCGCGAUCAAACGGAUCCAUUGAAUUCCAGCUCCGAGCAGGAAGCUCGUAAAGCUUAGAUAUUAAAUUUACAAGCUAUUUCGUUUAAUCGCUCGUUCGUUCGUCCCGUUUGUAAGCGCCUCCUCCCCGAAGGGAACGUUCGAUUUCGUGCUUUUAAGAUUCCUACCGAUCAUCGUACCUCGCGUUUUCAAUCUACACCCUCCCUCCGGACGGACGCUUUCAUUCGCGAGUUACUCGACGCAGCCUCCUGUUGGAGAAGUAAAAGAAACGAGCUUAGGAACGUCUUCGAGCACCGUUAUCGUCGUUCCGAGCGUGUAAAAGGGUUACUGCCUCGUAAGGAAGUCUUCCAGCCUGGGAAAUAAGAAUAGGUGUAAAAAUCUCGCUUCAGGGGCGGAUACUUUACGCUCGUUCCAAUGUAGGGCGUGACUGGAAGACGAAAGAGAUGCAGGGAUUUUGAGCGGAUACUGCUUGCUGAUACAAUUUCGAUAAGAAUAACAAGAGCGUAAUAUCCGGUAUUCUCCGUGUUCAACAAUUACGAACACGCGUAUCGAUGAAAGAGGUUAAUUUGAAGGUAAAUGUCUACAAUUAGGACCCCAACAGAAAUCAAUUAAAAAGAGGUAAAUUCUAUGUAUUUUUGCCCCUAGAAUCCAAAACUGUUGAUAAAAUUUGGAGAUCGCUUGUAUUUUCUAAGAUACUUAGGUUAGGUUAGGUUAUCAGAAAAAAUAUAACUUAUCUCACGGCAAAAUCUUGACCAGUCAACAAUAGUCUCAUUGAAAAGAAUAACUUCAAAGUGUAAAUUUAAACGAAGUGUUAAAAGUGGUAGGUGGAUAACCAAUUCUAAUCUUGAUAUCACGACGAUUGUCCGUUUUAUUGGAUACUUUCUUAUGAUGCGUCCUCCGCGCUGUGCACUCUAUGAACAGGAAUUAUAACUGAGCAAGGAGACUAUUGUUGACUGGUCAAGUUUUUGCCGUCAGGUAAGUUAUAUUUUUUCUGAUAACCUAACAUAACCUAUGUAAGUUAGUGACGCGCUUUAAAAGUAUCGUCUACCCCACAUUGUUAUUAUCUUUUGAAAAUAAUGAUUUUACGUCAAUAUUUACCACAAUAUCUUAGUAACUACAAGUGGCCCUCAAAUUUUAUCAACAGUUUUGGAUUUGGGUGGCAAAAAUACAUAGAAUUUACCACUUUUCAAUUGAUUUCUCGUUGGGACCCUAAUUGUAGACAUUUACCAAUUUGAAUUAUAGAGAAACCAGGUAUUUGAUAAAAUAAACCAAAUCUCCUGGUAUAUGAAAUCAAACGAAAAUCAAUUGCAAGACGGUUUUAUGAAAAAGAACGGCGACAGGGAGAUGCAAUAACGCAGAUAGGAUUUGAAUCGAGAAUCGCAGCAUCGUACUCGGUAGAUCGCAAAGAAGAUCGAGAUGGCUGCGAUCCAAUUUCGGCUUUUGUUGCGAACAGACGGCCUGCAGACGGCGAUAGUAAAGCUAGAAUGGAAGCAAUCGUGAAAUCUGUCUCUCGAGUAUGGAUGCUUUUUAACUCGGAGCCCCAUUAAAAUUGCCACUCGAGUUCUAAAACGUGCUCCAACAUAAAAUAGUCGAAAUUGUUGGUUAGUGCUUCCUUAACAAGCUGUAUUCGCGGAAAAUUUGAUGGAACGAUGUAGAAAAGGAGAGGAAGAGCCUGAUUCUAAACCACCGAAUAAGACCAGCUCUAUGUGCUAUGACGGAGAGUAGUUAACUCGAAGCGACCGAGAUCAAGGGGACUAUUCUGUCGUCUAACAAGUGCGAUAGUCGAUUCGAUUACCCUUUCAUGGGAAUCGACGUAUCCAGCAGCAGUGCUCGACGUCACCGAUUACGGAGGAGCAAUACUCGAUACCUUCGCGUAAUUGGGACAACGAGGUCCUGCAAUUUCCAACGCCGUCCCUCCGUUCCCUCGACAAUAGUCGAGGAUCUUCGCGCUUUUAAAGAGCCGCCAAAUAAACUCGUUGAAAUUCGUUGAAUACUAAAAUGAAAAGAGACGAUAUAAUAUAACCGGCACGUAUGAGAUGGUAAUUUCGACGGGUCGUAAUUCGAAAGAAAUAUCAAGCUGGCCGUAUAAUAUAGCUCGAUAACAUUGGGGGAAACGAGGGAAUAUCUGUCGAAUAACGUCGUAGGAAAAAUCGCGUCGAUUAUCGAGGGAGAGGGGUAUUGCAAGCAUGCACACGGUAGAUUCGCGACGAUGUUUCGUUUAUAACCGGCUCUCACAACAGCGGCUAGUCGUUAAAAUUUUACGAGCCGACCCGUACACGGCCCGCUGAACUCUGCCCUGUCGUAUUUGGCAUUUGCGAGUGCACAGGCGGCGACGUUUCCCGUAAUUGGAACAUCAACGCUCGCUACAAAGCCGUCGUUUACCGACCUACCGAUUCCCCACCCCCCUCAUCAAAGAAUACCCCAUGUUCGAUCGAUAAUUAAAGGUGUAGGCUGUUCGAACCGGUGUCGUUUGCCAGCAAGAUCGGGAAGAUUCGCCAGGGAUUAGUUGCAGUUACGAAAAACGAUAAACGAACAGCCGAUCGUUCGCUGCUUUCGACAGGAACGAAAAGUUUCGGAUGCAAUAUGGCUGGCGAAUAUGUUCGUAACAUACAUACGUACCAUCUAACCGCAGGAUACCGAGAAACCACCGACACGAAUUUUGCCGCUCUAUCGUCUGAAAACGUGGCUGUUGCGGAUAGCAAAGUUGCUGUGCCAGAUGGUGCUUGCGAGCACAAUAAGUCCGAUCCGAAGCAAUUAUUUCCUCCCUAUCGAAACGGAUACGACCCGAGCUUACGCGGCCGGUGCCAAUACUCGUUCCGGAACCUUCAAAUUGCUUUCUUCGGUUCAUAAAAAUGUAGCCAUUGUAGGAGAGGGGAGAAAAAGACGUUUCGUCUCGGAGGAUCAUCUGUCAGACUCGUCAGUGGGGCUGACAACAGACGAUCCCUGCCCCAGACACCUAUCAUACCGCAAUUUGGAACGCAUGCCGGGCGACCGUCAGCGAGAACACUGAUCCACCGAUCAUCUCGCCGCCACCUAGCGGUCCCCGGCCCGAACUAAAUGGGUCCGGAGAGACGAAACCCUACUUUCUCCCCAUCCACUAAAUGCCUACACCAUUUAAAAAAUCAUUUAUCACGAUAUUUACAUCGAAUGGUCAUUUAUGUUUUCAAAGAAACCCUGCUAAUUUCUGGAAACCGUCAGGGGGUUGAAGGCAAUUGAUCGUUCGAAAUGGCCGGGUUUUAGGUAAAGAAUAACAAAGCAGAGGGAAGGAGGGAAACUGGUGGACCUAAUUAGACCUUUCGUGGUCGAGUGGAACGGUUAAUAGAGCGAAUUAAAAAUAGCGAGAGAAAGGAGGGAAGGAAGAGGAUUGUGGAAAGGCAGGGAAAGGAAGAAGGGUGGUUCCAGCUGGUGGCGGCUUUAACUUUCGGUCGACGAGGAAAAAGAAAGCAAUUAGUCGUUGGUUAGAGAACACCGGGUAACCGGUCCCUUUCUUGCUCUAUCGGAAAACACUCGACUUGCAUCGUUUCUUUUCAUUUGGCGCGACCAAGCAAUCGGGGAAAACCGCGCUAGUGUUUGCGUUGCGCUCGCCGCUAGCUCUUGCAAGCCGACAGCAGCUACUCGACUGGACUUCAAUGCUAAAGCGAGAACCUUGUUUGCUGAAAAACCUUGUUCGAGACGCGUCGUCCUGCACGCCGGCCACAGGGAAGAUCGCGAUUUUUGUUAGCCGUUGAUUAAAUUUACCCCUGCGCUUCCCUUUUCAUAGAAAUCUUCCUGUCCCUGCUUCCUCUGCCGUGAAAAAUGGGAUUUCUAUGAAGAUCGAACAGCUUCGACGUCUGAUGGCUAGUUGCAAGAUAGUAAUCUUCAUAAACUGCACAUGUGCUAUUCUUUUUUUUAUCGUGACAAUGAUUUCUUUCUCGAGGCGUUCGAUUAAACUUCCUUUUCAGAAGUGUGAAAGCGAUUCGGCGAGUCUUCUGUAUCGUUACAAGAGAAUCGAUUUUCUCGGACGAUGGUCCACGAAGGAGAAGAAAACUGGAAACGGAUUUAACGACGGGGUCGGUCGUUUCGAAGCGGAUCGUUCAUUCGUCCACCGCCACCUACUGAUUUCGUCGUUUCGCAAUAAACGUUCGAGCGUAGAAUUUACGGAGGUGCUGGCUCGUGAAAACUCGUUGGAAAGUGGAAAACCGGACACGAUGAGGAUAGAACGAUGUCGGUUGAAGGAUGGAUGCGUGUGUCGGAAAGAGAGGUGAACGGUUUAUCCAAACGAUUAUCUUGGCCCACUUUACGCGAUCGGGAGGAUGGACCCGAUCGGUCCAAGGGGUUGACAGCACUCGAUAUGACACUCGAUAAAUUUACGAGGACGCGGUUCUCGACGUCUGUUCGGGACGUCGCGAGGCCGGUGUGCGACCCUCGUAAAACCGGAGGAUCGGUCUCGCGUCGACGGCUUAUGACGUCCGCUCGUUUUCACCCGCUGUCCACGACACCGGACCCGCGAAAAUUUCAAUCGUAGGUGCUCCAUCACGCGGAAUUAAUCGACCACCUAACGAGCACUCUACGUAACGCGUCCCUCCUGACCCCGAUUCCCUGGACGUUAAGUGAUCGAGGUCAACGAUUAUGGAGAACACGCGUUCGACGCGACGAUCGGCUGGCUCGUUUCGAAUUAUUACCCUGUACGCCGAGCGCGAGCGAUCGUAGGAGGAUUCGCAGUUUUCUCUUGUUCAGCCCCGCUCUUUCGAGCUGUUGUAUGCAGUUGGAGAACAGCCAACAACUGUUCGUGGCUGGCCAGCAUGGCGUCUCGGCUUAACGUGGCCGCGGAUCGAAGCGGCCAUCAUCGAGAAUGACGUCGUUGUAACGCGUCACCGGGCCAAGAAAAUCCAAGGCAGACUUUACGAUCCCGGUCCGUUCGUCCAUCUUGCUUGAUAGCGGCGAAUCUACCGAAGUGCUUCUCCAGGGAAUGACACUCGAUUUUUACGCGUUCGCCCUGCCAUCGGCUCCAUUCUCGUGAUAUCUUGGCCCGAACAACGCUUCGGGGAUUUCCAAGGAUUCCUCUCUGGUUGCACUUUAACGCUCUGAUAGCGCGAAUAGCAAUGGCUAUUUAAUACAUUCGUCUCGAAAAUCUUCGAGUAAUUCCACACGUUGCAGAGCUAAAUUUCAUACAGUCUCCUGCUGGAUUUUCGAGCAUUCAUUUGAUAUGCACCAACCCAGCACAAGCUUGUUGCCGAACUGAUAACUUCCUCGAGGAUAAUGAAUUAUGUGCCCGUUGUAAGUCUAAUCAGCGUCGACGAGUAUAAAUAGAUAAUGCAGACCGAGAAAAUUGAGUUAUUCCCACAGUCUACUCGAGAAAGUUUUGUUUUCAAUUUCCUUCGAGCUUGAAAAUCCAGAUACCACUCGACCCGUCUCCCUUUCAUUUUCCUGCAAGCUGAUGCGUGUUUCCACCGUAAAAUUUCUAACAAAUGUUAUUCCUCGCGACAAGGAUAUUCCCGUUGGAAUAUCGAUUCGCCAGGCGAUCCCGUUUCUUAUCCGUGAAUUAUGCACAACUUAUUUCGCGACGAUCAUAGCCGGCAUCGGCAACGCGCGUAAAUUCACGACACAGCGUUACGGGAGGCGUCGCGUGUCGGUAAACUGUCAGGGAAAUAGAAUAACGAAUAGAAGGACGCUUCGCUUCGCUCCAGAUCUGCCAGAGUGUCAACAUUUCAUCGAAGCCUCGAGCAAAAGAAAAGAAAGGAAAAGGGUGAAAGAGAGAGAUUUACCGUAGAACGGAUAGUCGCGGAGGAAUUUUUCUCUCCUCCAGAUAAAAAGAUUCUCUGGUAUUCGAUUCCGCGUCGCGACGUCGCGUCGCGGCGAGCACUCGUUCGAUCCUGUCCCGGAUUUCUCUUACCAUCCUUUUUUUUUUUUCUUUCUCUCGACGAGAAUCAAUGGAAUAAUGGAGAAUCAUCGGUGGAAAGCGUGAGAUAAGACGCUUUAUACGGAGCGAAAGGAAUGAAGAUGUACGACGUAGCCUUCGCGUUUGUCACCAAACUUGUCUCCGACUAUUUCGCAGAUCGUCGAAGCGGUCAUAUUUGUUUAUCUACUAAUCGAACGAACGAGCAAACCGUACCGGCGAAUGUAUCGCAUCAGUUUUAAGUAGAAUUAUAAAUUAAAGCUGUUAACGAUCGAGCGAUGAAUAUGCAGGCAGGUUCGAAUAUCGGGGGAUGAAAUUCAAAACUGGCAAUUGAAAUUGCAAAGAGCAUAUAUACAUGUCACGAAGCCAAUGGUGGAAAUAUGAUAGUCCAGAUGGGACGUAACGAUUCGACGGGGGAAAAAUCUAUAAUUCACGUUAUCGAUGUAACGGACGUCGGAUUAAGUCUUCGUCCGUUAUCGAACGGAUGGGACAGUAGACCACAAUGCGCAGAUUACGAUAAGCUGUUCGAACGUCGGCCAAUAAAUGAUAUUUCGAUGCAACCAGCCACGUUGUUCGAAUCCUCGUAACGAAUUGCGCUUACAAUCGAGCGUGAAAAACGAUCGGAUUCUUGAUAACUAUUUCACCCGAAUCCAUAUAUCGAUUGAACGACGAACGUUAACCACUCGAACGUAAGAGAUCGGUGUCUUACAACGAUAGAUGGUUGAAACGAGAGCUUUCUAUCCAUUGUCCAGGGCGACAAUUUUUUCAGGGAACUUGGUUAAAUCGGAGGCCGUGUAAAUAUGCCCGGGUUAUAUCGACGCGUCAUCGAGAUGGAGCUCGGCCAACGGAUUAACCCAGAAUGCCGAGGUCGUGACACCGAGAUCUGGAGCAUCGAUAGACCGUCGACAUUCGAUUCUAUCCGCUAGUUUUUACCCCUUUCUUGCCGGGCAAUUUCACGCCUAACAAGUUGAAAGUUGUCGGUCAAUUCUUCAAACGGGCAAUUUCGAAAAGUGCAUCGCAAGAAACAAGGAUUACUUUUAUAAAAGGCGGUAGUCGCGUUUAAAGUGAUUACUAUUCCCCCAUAGUACGCUCUAUAACCUCUAUCAACGCGAAAGUGGGUCGGUUUCAUCAUGGAUCCAGCGAUGAAUAUCCCUCUCCACCCCCGAAAAAAGGAAAAACUUUUCAGAACGAUCCAGCUAAAAGCGAGCUACCGACUCGAUAAAAUCCACGCUGGUUGUGUUGCAAACGGACCUAAUGGACGCAUUACGGCUCCGCUUCGCUCGUCCAGCCAGACGAAAAAAAAAAAGGAAAAAUUCCAAAACAAACGGCACUAAUAGCCCGCAGUUUUCCAUCUCGACGACGCGCGGUCUAGAAACACGAUAAAACUAGCUAGAGGGGAAAAAAGUACACGUACGCCUCUCUCUGGUAAAAGUUGACUGAAAUCCUGCCGUGUUCCGAACGUAAAUCAUAUGCGAAACUACAGAAACAACGCGUUUAUGUACGCGUAAGGUGCGUUCGCUGGUUGCUCGUGGAUGAAAACGGAUGUCGACUAGCUUGGGAACAAACAAGGAGCGGGAAACGUCCUCCCAGGUGCGGAUAUCCCGCCUCGUUCUCCCUGCACCUAAUUUACAUAUCACCCUUACGAGUGUAUACCUUUUUCUUUUGCUACGUCCGCUAUUCGCCCUACGGCGAAACUUUGCUUUCGCGUUGCAGGUAGGUGACCGUUGUUGGUACGAUUUUUCAGCUGAAAUUAAAUGAAAUUUUUCGUUAUACCCGUAUCGUUCCGAAGGGAUUACUAGGUCAGCGUAACUCAUAAGGCGAUGUGAAACAGCAGAAAAGGAGAGGCAGGCUGUGAUACAGGAUACCAAGACAAAUGGUCCGAGAUACACGGAGAGAAUGGUUGUAGUAUCGAAUAGCUGGUAUAAGGGUAUUCGGAUGCUCGGCGAGGGGUUUAGAAUGUAGCUAGAUAGAAACGGCAGUCGAUGGGAAUACCUUGAGCAGUCUACGUUUCAGACAGAGAGGGCGUAACAUCCGAACGAAAUACUACAGGACGAUAAAUCUAAGCUGCAGCGUUCGUGUUUUGCGCAUUCGGCUGGCUAGCGUCCAUAAAUUUCACCGGUAUCCUAUAUCUUCGCGCAGACCCGAGGGAAUAAGCGACUCGAAACGGGCUUCGCGAUCUUGUAGCCCACCGAUGUAGAUCGUAAGAAGAAAGCGAGCUAAGAACCUGCAAAGCGACCGUGAAUCUGUCGAAUAAACGUUCCUACAACUCCAACACCCGGCAAAUCGAAUCCUACAGAAGGGUGGCGAGCUUCGAACCUGAAUUGGGCCAAUCUUUUCCACCCUGUUCCCGACGUGUGUGUAUGCGUUAUUUCUAUAACUUUCCACGCGUGUUCCUAACAAAAAAAAAACCAUAUUCGACAAACAUUUUCCUUUUCCCUAUAAAAGAGCAACUUGUAUUGAUUCGCAUUAAGGAACGAAAGCAUAAAAGCUCGUUGAUUUAACGAAGUACAGUAUUGUUAGGAAAAUGGGGUUUUGUCUCCGAGACGGAUUAAUAAUUUGUCGCUGUUUACCGGCUUCCUCCGUCCCCUUGCUGCAGCCAUGUCGUCGUCUAGGGGAACGUAAAAACCUCAUCUUAAACUCGUGUCGCGAUUCUCCUUUGUUCUGGUUGGCUAGACUGCGAGUAUUUGCAUCUGCACCCUCGCGGAAGGGAAAUACUGUUCUUUCGUACGGGAAAAUCUUGCUCGUUACUCGUUAUCCCGACGCGUCCCAUUGUUCGAUCUGUCACAGAGACGUAAAUUCGAGAGAAAAUAAAAAAAAAAAAAAAAAAAA